CUCUACUAAAUCCUUUCAGCAAAAAUAUGGCAAUAUCGCGAAAUGAUCAAGUAUGACACAUAGAAUGGACCUGCUAUUCCCGUUUAAAUAAGAAAUUCGCAUUUCAGUAGGCCUUUAACAUACCAAGCACGUUCUCAGUUGGGUAUUUAUGCGUCAUAUAACGUACACUUAUUCAGCCUGUUGUUCACUAUUCUUUAUUUAUUUUAAAUUGCCUUUUAAAUGUCUAUUCUUGGUGUUGGGUUUUAUCAAAUAAAUUUCCCCCAAAAAUGUGACUUAUGUAUGUUUUUUUCCUUCUUAAUUAUGCAUUUUUGGCAGGUGCGACUUAUACUCCGGUGCGACUUAUACUCCGAAAAAUAUGGUAAGUGAUCAUUUUGCGUACCUCCAGAUCAGGGGUGUCAAACGUACGGCCCGCGGGAUGAGUUUGCUAAGUAUAAAAAUGACCCGAAAUGUUUAAAUGAAAUAAACUGCUGUUUUAAAUGUGUCCACUAGAUGUCACAAUAGCAAUUCUUUUUAUCUUUGUCGAUGAUGCUACAUAUGUAAAAAAAAAUAAUAAAAAAAACCACAUGAAGUUAGUGCACCAGUCAAGGAAAAUGAGCAAACUACAUAAAUACCAUACUGUAAUUUGAUUUUGAUAUUUUUUUUUUAUCUUGAUAGAUUGAAAAUGAACACCAAUGAGUUGACUGAUGAACAUUAUCACGUCAUUUAUUCAGAAAGUAUAAAUAACGACAAAUAAAGAUAGAAUACUAUUAACUGUAACAUCUAAGUGUAAAACAACAUUAUGAUUUGUACAUUUUCAGAAUGUGCUUGUUUUAUUUUUAAACAAAGAAAACAAUCUGAAGUUGUCUUUAUUUUUAGGUUAUCGUGCCGUGAUUUUACCAGUCCGGCCCACUUGGGAGUAGAUUUUUCUCCAUGUUUCUCCAAAUAAAUGAAAGCUAAGGUAAAUGCAAGGUAGAACAAACUAAAAAAGGUAAAUACAAGGUAUGUAGAAGGGAAACAAGCUACAUAGAAGAUACAUGAAGGUAAAAUAAGUUAAAUAGAAGGUCAAAUAAGUUAAAAGGAAAACAAGGGUAAUACAAGGUAAAAGACAGUAAAUAAAAAAGUACAUAUGAGGUAAAUGGAAGGUAUAUAGAAGGUAGAACAAACUAAAAAAGGUAAAAUACAAGGUAUGUAGAAGGGAAACAAGCUACAUAGAAGGUAAAAGAAGGUAAAAUAAGUUAAAUAGAAGGUAAAAUAAGUUAAAUAAAUGAAAAAAAGGGUAAUAAAAGGUAAAAGAUAGUAAAUAAAAAAGUACAUAUGAGGUAAAUGGAAGGUAUAUAGAAGGUAGAACAAACUAAAAAAGGUAAAUACAAGGUAUAUAGAAGGUAAAUGAAGGUAAAAUAAGUUAAAUAGAAGGUAAAAUAAGUUAAAAGGGAAAAAAAGGGUAAUAAAAGGUAAAAUAUUGUAAAUAAAAAAGUACAUAUGAGGUAAAUGGAAGGCAUAGGUAGAAGGUAGAACAAACUAAAAAGGUAAAUACAAGGUAUGUAGAAGGGAAACAAGCUACAGAGAAGAUAAAUGAAGGUAAAAUAAGUUAAAUAGAAGGUAAAAUAAGUUAAAUAAGAGGUAAAGGAAGGGUAAUAAAAGGUAAAAGACAGUAAAUAAAAAGUAUAUAUGAGGUAAAUGGAAGGUAUAUAGAAGGUAGAACAAACUAAAUAAAAGGUAAAAGAAAGUAAAAAAGAAGGUAAAAUAUGGUAAAAGAAGGUAUAAAGUAAAAAAAAAACUUAUAUAAAAGGUAAAACAAUAAAUGUUUUGCAUCAAUACAUUACAAAGGGGAGAAAAAUGUGAGCAUUACAAGAUCACAUUAAUAUUAAGAAGUCUUAGUUUGUCACACACAUUUCCUCCUGAGAACAAGGUCAAAUGUGAAUAAUGUAUAUAAAGGUAAAAUAAA